AAGGCGAGGAAGCCAACAGGAUGAAGACUUAAGGACAAGGGGUCGGGAGCGCCAGGAGGCGAAGACCAGGAAACUGUCAGGAUGGCAGGCAAAAAGGAAAAAGGACCACGACACGGACUGUUAAAUGCUAAGGGAAAAACAGGGUACGUUGUUAGCAAACAAGGAAUGUCAUACCCAAUGAGGGUAGAGGGUCAGAAAAAAAGGCGACAGAUUGCUCUGUCGCCUUUUUUCUUUGCUUGCUU
rnacentral:sRNA from 1 species